rnacentral:rRNA from 1 species
AACGUAGGACGCGAGCGUUAUCCGGAGUUACUGGGCGUAAAGCGCGGGCAGGCGGUCUGACAAGUCUGAUGUGAAAUCUCCGGGCUUAACCGGGAGAGGCCAUUGGAACCUGACAGGCUGGAGGGCAGUAGAGGUAGGCGGAAUUCCGGGUGGAGUGGUGAAAUGCGUAGAGAUCCGGAGGAACACCAGAGGCGAAGGCGGCCUACUGGGCUGCACCUGACGCUGAGCCGCGAAAGCCAGGGGAGCGAACGGG